UACGUAGGGUGCGAGCGUUGUCCGGAAUUAUUGGGCGUAAAGAGCUCGUAGGCGGUUUGUCGCGUCGGCCGUGAAAUCUCCACGCUUAACGUGGAGCGUGCGGUCGAUACGGGCAGACUUGAGUUCGGUAGGGGAGACUGGAAUUCCUGGUGUAGCGGUGAAAUGCGCAGAUAUCAGGAGGAACACCGAUGGCGAAGGCAGGUCUCUGGGCAUUAACUGACGCUGAGGAGCGAAAGCGUGGGGAGCAAACGGG
rnacentral:rRNA from 1 species